AAACUACAUUCAUUAAAAAUGUCAUAAGUUUCUUAAAAUUCACGCACCAAAUCACAUCUCAUAAAAAUAAGAACGAUCCAACCAUCGCAGCAGCUACAUAAUAAGCGAAUCCAACCGUGGCGGUAGCGUCGUUUCCGGAAGGUGGUUGAGGUGGCGGAUAGUUUGCGUUCGAAGAAUCGCUUCCCAUAGAUCCAGCGACCUCUCCUGGUGUAGCAGCUGCAUCCUUGUUGUCAUUUCCUCCUGGAGCUUUAGCUACAUUGGUCGGAGCUGUUGCGGGGGCUCCAGAGGUGAUCGUCGAGGGUUUAUCAACAGCUGAGACAACCACGGCGGCAAAGAGGAGGAGGAGCAGAGCUACGUGAAGGCGCGCCAUUUUGUUAGUUUAAAUUAGUUAAUUAUCCUAAAAGACUUUUUUCCAAAUGUUUUAUGGUUAUUUUCUUUAUUUACUUGUGAAUUAUUUUUAAAAAUUGUGUAGUGAAGGCUCUUUGUUUAUACAUUGUUGUUAAUCAAAAUGCGAAAUUUGAGGUUUGCCAAAAAAAUAUUUAACGGCGUAUCUUCUACUCCUAAUUUUAGUUUCGCCCCUCUCCCUCUCCUGUCUCAGUUAAUGAAUAUAAUUAAACUUGAGUUUAGCCUAAAAAUUUAUCUUAGAUAUUUUUUUUAGUUUUAAUUUAUCUGAAAAGUAUAAAAAGCAACGUUGUCAAAUGAAAUGAGUAAUAAGGUGAUGAUGUAAAAUAAUAAAAGUAUCAAGUCCAAGUUUAUAGGGCUCUUGUUAAGCAGCCUAGAUUAUCUGACUAUUUUUGUAUGCUUCCUUAAUUCACUUUACCCUAAACAGUAAACACAGUGAUAUGGCGUGAACUGCACGGAAACUGUACCACGAAUUUGGUAAGCCUUGAGUUUUUUAUACAAAUGAAAUAGAAUCUGAACCUUACAAUAAAUGGACUAAUUGAAAUUAUUCGACAAUUAUCAACCUAACACAUGACCCAUGAACAAUUAGAAUAAUGUCAGACCCUAUACAAUGAAAUGUUAAGACAAGUUCCUUAACUUAUGUUUCCCCCUUUUGUACAAACCCUUCCAAAGUGACCCCAUAACAUAGUAAACCGCAAUUUCCCUGCCUUUUUGUCUGAUCUGCCAACAAACCGCUAACUGAGAUCGAUAUUUACUUUUUCAGGAACACACCUUUCUGUCUGGUCACGACCAAGCUCUGCUCCAAGCUGACCCUUAUCACCCGCACCAAACGCGAAUAGCUUCCCUGAUUCCGAGAGCGCAAACGUAUGAGCGUUCCAAUAUAUAGAGUUCGUUAGACUAAUCUGAACCAUCUUCUCCUUCACUUGCUUCAGCGAUGUUACUACCGCUGGACUCAACACAUUCCCAUUUCUAUUACCCUAAUAACAAAACCCAAACCAAAACAUAAAGAGUCAGAUACCUUGCAACGCAAGUUUAAAAGAAACAAGUGCUAACCUGUUCAUCAGCGGCUAUAUGGUGACCGAGACUAGCGGAUUCGCCACAACCAAACGAGUAAACAUCUCCAUCUUCCGAGACAACAAAAGUAGUGUAGUCUCCCGUUGCGACAUGAACCGCCUUGACAUGACUUAGCCCUUCAACGACCUUAGGGACUGAUUCACACUCCUCGUUACCGUGUCCUAAGCAACCGUACCUUCCCCAACCCCAAGUGCACACUCUUCCAUCUUGACCAACCACCGCCGCAUGCCAUGCACCGGCUGCAACUACCCUGGUACUUUACUCUACAGACAUUAGACAAGACAGUGGAAGAGAACAAAUGUUUAUUUUGUUUUAUUUCUUUAUGUCUUUCCAAUUUAUAAGCGCAUUUAUGUUUCUCGAAAAUGACUGUUGCUUUAAAAACAUAGAUUAUAUAUCAUUUCGUGAAGUUACCUUAGUACCCCUACUCACUUUUUGUAGGCUUGGGUUCUUGAUUUACGAGGCAAAUAUAUUUGUAGUAGAUUAAAGUCUCUACGAGACCGGAAUACUGAGUACGUGGAAAAUGUGAAUAUUUAAAAAAUAUAUAUUUACAACUGCGAAAAGAAAACGUUGCAGUGAAGAAAAAAAAAGAAGUAAAAAAAUCAUGGACCAUUUUUUCAUUUUGAUAUAUAAGUUAACACGGGAUGUCCGCGAAAUAUUGUUUUUAUUAUUGAUAAGAACAUAGUUUUUUAGAUAAUGUAAUUAUGUUGUUGUUUUUAUUUGUUAAGAUCGUUAUUUGGUGUUUUUAGUGUGUUAUGUAGUAAUAGAUGAUAGGUUAAUAUAUUUUGUGUUAGUUUUUUCGAAUAAUGUAUUGUUGUGUGUAUAGUACUCGUUAGUAGUGAAAUGAGCAUUGUAAAAGAAUAUUGAAUUUCAAUAACUUUGUUGAUUCUAAGAUUAACGGUUUCAGCGUCAAAAUUGUAUUAUAUUUUUUUUCAUAUUUUUGAAAAUUAUAACUUUUAAGAUGUUUUUUGCCAUCUCCCUAUAUUUUGACCUUGAGCUAUCACCGUCUAUGUAUUUCGUUACCUUUCUGGUGUACGGUGCUUCUCACCAUCACCCGGAAAAAGACUUACAUCUUUCUCUUGUUCUUCUUUGAGAUUACAUGGUAUUUGUUGUAGAUCGGGUUUAUAAGUUUUCAGUUUUUCGCUUGAUUCUCACGGUAUUAGGUUGUUCCAGUCAAUAUUGACUGCUCCUCUUCUUCUUUAGAUUUCAGCUGAUGUUAGGAACUGCAUCUUCGUGGUUGGGUCAUAGUUUAGUCGUUUUUGAUGUUGUAUUCCUCAACGUAGGCUUACCGUCAAUAGUCUCUGCUCGUCUUGGUUUUCAAGAUCUAGUUUUUGGUGUUCUAACUUCUAUGCUCUCUUUCAUAGCUCGAGGACGGCUUCAUAGUUUGCUGAUUUCGUUUCGUCUCAUUUUUCCUCUCUAUUCUCGCAUCUCUUUGCAGCUUUCAUCGCAUCUCUGGUGGCUCUAUCUUUCACCAUGUUUGCCACUCGAGGUUUGGAUAAUGUUUUCGUUCGUGCAUGUUAUAUGGACUUGGAAGGUUAUUUAUGGUAUCAAAUUUAGUCUCUGAUUUCUUGGUAGUUGUCUUUGAUUCUUCCUCCCUCAAGUUGUUUCUUUUCUUUCUAUGUUUCCUUUGUAUAGGUAGGUGUGUGGAAUUAGUCUCUUGGAGCUUUGGUCCAUUCUAUCUAGAUCUUUGUGGUUUUUCACUUGCAUGGCCGUGUUGUAUAUUCUUGUUUAGUUUGUGAGGCGUUUCUUAUCUUUUAGCUACUGAUUGUGAUUUCGGUGCUUUAGGCAUAUAUGUUCCUGCUUCUUGGUGGCUUUGGCAUUUCGAUUAUUAUUCUCCUUCUGACCCGUUUUCUUGGUUAUUUGCAUUGGUGAUCUAGUUUCUUAUUUUGGUUUGAUUAUCUUAUGAUAUUAAUAGUGAAAUAAAUAUAUAAUUUGUAAAUGAAAUAAUAAAAAUUAGUAAAAAUAAUAAAAUGGUGACAGUUUAUGUUAUUUUUAAUUGUAAAUAAAUUAAAUAUUUAAAAUGUAUUUUUGUUAUUUUAUUUAUUUCUUGAAUUUUAGAGACUAAUAAGUAUGAGAAGAAUUAGAUAGUACAUAAUAAGAAAUUGAUAGAACAAAUUGCAAUAACCUAAAAAAAAAAAGAUUUAAAAUACAAAAUAAAAUAUGAAGAUACAUGUCAACAAAUCCUCGUUUCACAUGUUAUAAGAAGAAAAAAAAAACUUUAUAUAGAUAGAUAGAUUUACAACUUCUGUGUGUAAUAUAUAAUCUCUAGAACAUAUGAGAACGGCAAUAGUUAUAAUAAGAGUCGUAACCGUUGCUACAUAAUUUUAGCAAAUUAAGUCCUAAAUGACAACUCUACAAACACACACAUUCAUCAAACAAACUGAUGGUAGCUAAGCUAUUAUCGAUAUAUGUAUGAUAAGAGCAUUAUAUAUAUUGAAGAGUUAACCAGCUUUAGCAUCUAUAAUAACUCUUUUAAGUCUUUGAGGGUACAUUCGUUUAGCGACUGUGUUACAUUACACAUUUAUUCACAAGACCCAAAACUCAAAUGCAUAAUGCUUAUUAUAAUAAAACAAAAAGGUUUAAUGAUGGAUGAAUCAAGGAUUUAAAAGCAAUCGUUUUGUGUGUUUUAACAAAUAUUUUUUGUUUUAUGCGGAUAUUGGUAUAGUGAAGAAAGUGUUGUUAAACACGAAGUAGUGACCAAACACACGUGCAUGAAAAUCUCGGUUCGAGAAGAAGACUCCUCAAAACCAACGACCAAAACCAUAAUCUUGUUCUUCGUUUAUUUUACCAGGUAAGCAAAUUACUAAAGUAAUACAACUUCUUGCUUACCACGUUUGCUUCAGUUUAUUUUACUUAGUUGUUGUACAAAUAUGAUUCUUCUUGGGAACCGUACAAUGUCAAACCAAGUUAUGGUCAAGAUAUAAGAAAAUUCAUUUUGUGACAUUGCUAUGGAAUCUCUUUUAGGCUUUACUAUUCUCAUAUUCUUUGAUUGUUUUCUUUCUUUUCGUAAAUCUAAAUCUUCUUACUUCAUCAUUAUAAAUUGACAAUAUUUAUUUCGGAACUGAACCAACCUAAUCGAAAUGAACCAAAAACUCGGUUUUUAGUUUUAGUUUUACAAUAAACGAUUUAUCCAAACUGAAAUUCAAAACCAAACCCACAAAACCCUAUAGAAAAAAAAAACAAAAUAUCAACCCUGUAUUUAUUUUAAAUUUACAAUAUAUGAUCAUUUUUAAUUCUCAUUUUAGUUAGUAAGUGGACUAUUAUGUUUCUAAGAAAUAAUACACUGGCAUAUACAUGUUUUUAUAUACAUAAUUUGAAUCUAUUUGUAAUAAUCUUCGAUUUACCUUUUUACUUAAUUACGGCUCAAACUUAAAACAUUAUUUUAUUCUAUCAAAUUUAAUACAUGUAUUUAGUCAAAAAAAUUAAAUAAAUGUAAGAUAUGAAGGAACAGAACUAGACUCUAACCUGAAUAGAAAUACCAUAAAACCAAACGAGCCAAAGUGAUUUCGAUUCGAUUCGGUUCGGUUAGAAUUUUACUAAAACCAAACCAAAUCUUUAGAUUUAUAUCUCUUGAAGUCUUGAGAAUUGUAUGCCUACAAGGCUACAACACCUAGGCUGUAACUGGUAAAUUGAUCUGGAAUUAAUGGAACAAAAAUAAAUAAAAUGAUAGGAAUGAAAUGGAAUACAUAAAAAAAAUGGAACGGAAUACAUUCCAUUUAUUCAUGAACAAUUUUGUUAUGGAAUACUUUUCUUUGUAUUUUAUCAAAAUAUUUUUGGAAUUGGUGGAAUGACCAUUCCAUUCCAUUCAUAUCAAAUGGUAAAAAAGGUUUUUGGAAUCAAUGGAAUCCACCAUUCCACGUCGUUCCAUUCCAAAAUAUUGUAAUCCAGUUGCACCCCUAAUGUUUCAAGUUAGUGAAGAAAGAUUUAUAUCUUUGAGCAAGACCAAACAUCCCAAGAGUGCCUCCAGUGUGAAGCAUCACUACAAUGCUCGAAUCCUCGUCCUCCACAAGCUCUGUUGCCGUCUCCCAAGCAGCUAAAGUAUACAUUGGAUCCACUAAAACACCCGUCUCUUGCGCAAUCUUCCGACACAUCUCGACUUCUCCUUCCAAGACCUUCCCAAACCUGCAAGAACAAAAGUAAAUAUAUAACUGAAAAUAUCACUUUUAGUAUAUCUUCAAUAGCGAAAAGAAUCAUACUUUCUCGGGCGUUGACGUUCUACCCAUUUGAUCGUAUCCAAGCGGCUGCAAACGAUGGAGGGAAGAAACUGCCUCGUAAACUCUUCUAACAAGCGAUGUUCAUGUCUUUUGUAGUUUUCGAGUGUAUCAGCUAACAUCACUGCAUUGAUCUCCCAGGGAAGCCUGAGAGGAGAAGUGUAACAUGAGCAAGAAAAGAAACAGACACAAAAAGCGUUAUCAAUAAAGUCUUGUUCAACAAAGCCUAACCCUAAAGACAUAGCUGCAACUCCUAAACCCACAGCAGUCGUUCCAGUACCAGCAUCAACUACAAACUUGACACGACUCUUCUUCCCAAGUAAAUGAUCUUCUGACAAAUACUUCACUAACCGAAACAUACCUGCAUAGUAAAACAAAGGCACACAUAAACAACAAAUCUUGAUAAGUUCUUUCCACCAAAUUAGAUUGCUUACCGAGUAACGCAAGAGCAUCGCCUGCGCCUUCAUUGACGAUCAAAACCUUUCUAGAAGAAGCAGCUUGGGAAGUCGAAAAACCAUCAAUAGCCUCAAGGUCUUUAGCCCAUAAGACAGAACCGUCUUCCCCAGCGACAAGAUCAGCGUGAGUUCUCAGCAUCUCCUCCCUAUUCGCAUACUUCGAUCUCGGAACAUACUCAACGUUUCCAUACAUAGUUGAAACGAGGUUAUAACCGGUCAAAACCUCGGGCUGCUCUCCACGCAGUAGCAGAUGUGAUCUCACACCUCUCUCAGCACAAGAAACAGCUGUAACAACAUAGAAAGAACUGAUAUUCAAAACAUAAACAUGUUUAGUUCUCUCAAUAAGAAGGUUCUGACUUUUUUUUACCAACAGCAGCUGUGUGUGCGCUUUGACAACCUCCACACGUAACCUAACAUUCAAACAAAAAUCUCUAAGCAUUUUUUUUUUCAAAGGACCCAACUGAGAAAAAGGAUAACUAACUUCUCACCAAGUCAGUGACUUUAUGAUCCUGAAGAAGUGGUAGCAAAGCAUCAAGCUUUCUAGCUUUGUUACCAUUGACAAGAGGAUGCAAAAGAUCGUCUCUCAGAAUGUAAAAAGACGAUCUUUUUUUAGAGACUUCAUCUCCGAGACGUGGACGAGUGUUGUUCAAGAAGGAGAGUUUGCCGAUUCCACUGAUUCGAUGAAUUGGAGUUGCGGGACUCUGUAAUCCCCACUUCCUAUCGAGUAACUUCGACACGGACUCGAGCUCAGCCUAUUGACAAUAUAGUUGCAAUUGCAAAAUGGGUAUUCUCGGAAGUGAAUAAAAAACCGAACUUUAACCUGAGAGGAGUGGAAGUGAUGGAGGUUUGAUUUCGCGUUGACUGCCAAAAUGGUUGACCGUUGGACCUUCAUUGCCGCUACGCUUCUCUGCAAAUUACUCUCUAUCGGCUAACAGAGUAUCUGUGAAAAACUGAAAAUACAUACAUCCACGCGCGUCUCAUUUCACAGGAUGUGAUAGACACGCGCUUUUUGAGACAUGUAUGGGCCAAGCUUCUCUCACCCGGCCCAUAUCUAACAACCAAAGUUGUUUCCUUUUUUUACAUUUUUUUUCAAACACUAAUUUUUCACUGUAAUAUUAAAAAUACUAUGUGAAUGAUUUUUUUAUGUUCACCACUUUGACGAAAAACCAAACAUUGUAAAUAUUUCUCUCAAAUCGAAUUGAACUCAAGUGGCGGUAGUUACAGUUGCAAUCUCUCGUCAACUCAAUGUCGGUUUAUAUAAAUGAUUUUACAACUAGUAAUUCUACUUAUUUUUAUGAAAAUUUAUACCUAAAACUACAUCACAGUAAAUUAUUUUAAAAAGAUUUUUCUUUUUAAUUAUCCCCCUCGAGUGCCAUUGACCCAAUUCCAUUGGUUUAUUUUAUGAAUGUCAAAAUCGGUUCUAUCGUUUUGGGUACAUGCAGAUACUGGAUUUGUGAUACGGACUAUAAAACAUAGAUACGUAUCACAUAAGGUUUCAUUUUUGUCAUGAUCACUGUAUCGUCUCACUUUCAUAAGAGACAAGCAAAAUGCUAUAUUACAUCUACAAGAUAAAAACAUUACAAACUACAUUCAUUAAAAAUGUCAUAAGUUUCUUAAAAUUCACGCACCAAAUCACAUCUCAUAAAAAUAAGAACGAUCCAACCAUCGCAGCAGCUACAUAAUAAGCGAAUCCAACCGUGGCGGUAGCGUCGUUUCCGGAAGGUGGUUGAGGUGGCGGAUAGUUUGCGUUCGAAGAAUCGCUUCCCAUAGAUCCAGCGACCUCUCCUGGUGUAGCAGCUGCAUCCUUGUUGUCAUUUCCUCCUGGAGCUUUAGCUACAUUGGUCGGAGCUGUUGCGGGGGCUCCAGAGGUGAUCGUCGAGGGUUUAUCAACAGCUGAGACAACCACGGCGGCAAAGAGGAGGAGGAGCAGAGCUACGUGAAGGCGCGCCAUUUUGUUAGUUUAAAUUAGUUAAUUAUCCUAAAAGACUUUUUUCCAAAUGUUUUAUGGUUAUUUUCU
rnacentral:lncRNA from 1 species